rnacentral:rRNA from 1 species
CACGUAGGGCGCAAGCGUUGUCCGGAAUUAUUGGGCGUAAAGAGCGUGUAGGCGGCCAGAUAAGUCCGCUGUGAAAUCUCGAGGCUCAACUUCGAGCUGUCGGUGGAAACUGUCUGGCUAGAGUCCGGAAGAGGAGAAUGGAAUUCCUGGUGUAGCGGUGAAAUGCGCAGAUAUCAGGAAGAACACCCGUGGCGAAGGCGGUUCUCUGGGACGGUACUGACGCUGAGACGCGAAAGCGUGGGGAGCGAACAGG